UACAGAGGGGGCAAGCGUUGUUCGGAAUUACUGGGCGUAAAGGGCGCGUAGGCGGCCUGUUAAGUCGAACGUGAAAUCCCCGGGCUCAACCCGGGAACUGCGUCCGAUACUGGCAGGCUUGAAUCCGGGAGAGGGAUGCGGAAUUCCAGGUGUAGCGGUGAAAUGCGUAGAUAUCUGGAGGAACACCGGUGGCGAAGGCGGCAUCCUGGACCGGCAUUGACACUGAAAAGCGAAAGCCAGGGGAGCAAACGGG
rnacentral:rRNA from 1 species